rnacentral:rRNA from 1 species
CCUACGGGUGGCUGCAGUGGGGAAUCUUAGACAAUGGGGGCAACCCUGAUCUAGCCAUGCCGCGUGGGUGAUGAAGGCCUUAGGGUCGUAAAGCCCUUUCGCCGGGGAAGAUAAUGACGGUACCCGGUAAAGAAACCCCGGCUAACUCCGUGCCAGCAGCCGCGGUAAUACGGAGGGGGUUAGCGUUGUUCGGAAUGACUGGGCGUAAAGCGCGCGUAGGCGGAUCGGUAAGUUGGGGGUGAAAGCCCAGGGCUCAACCCUGGAAUUGCCUUCAG